rnacentral:rRNA from 1 species
UGUAAGCACAUGCCUUAAAACGGUAAAGCCGCGAAUGGCUCGGUAUAACAGCCACUGUUUAUUAAACUCUAGUUAUCUACUUGGAUAACUGUGGCAAUUCUAGAGCUAAUACAUGCACGCAGGCUCGGACCUUUUGGGAAGAGCGCAUUUAUUAGACCAAAACCAAUCGGGCUUCGGCCUGUGUUUUGGUGACUCUGAAUAACUCAGUCGAUCGCACAGUCUUAGUACUGGCGACGUAUUUUUCAAAUGUCUGCCUUAUCAACUUUCGAUGGUAGGUUAUACGCCUACCAUGGUUAUAACGGGUAACGGAGAAUUAGGGUUCGACUCCGGAGAGGGAGCCUGAGAAAUGGCUACCACAUCCAAGGAAGGCAGCAGGCGCGCAAAUUACCCAAUCCCAGAACGGGGAGGUAGUGACGAAAAAUAACGAGGUAAUCCACUUUGUGGCUUGCCAUCGGAAUGGGCACAAUAUAAA